rnacentral:rRNA from 1 species
AGCUCCAAUAGCGUAUAUUAAAGUUGCUGCGUUUAAAAAGCUCGUAGUUGGAUCUCAGUCUCGAUCGAGCGGUCCGUCUUCUGACGGCACUGCGCGAAUCGGACAUUCCGCCGCGUUUCUCCUCAUGCUCUUCACUGAGUGUGAGGGGAGAGUGGUACGUUUACUUUGAAAAAAUUAGAGUGCUCAAAGCAGGCCACCGCCUGAAUAGUCGUGCAUGGAAUGAUGGAAUAGGACCUCGGUUCUAUUUUGUUGGUUUCCGGAACUUGAGGUAAUGAUUAAUAGGGACGGACGGGGGCAUUUGUAUUGCGACGUUAGAGGUGAAAUUCUUAGAUCGUCGCAAGACAAACUACUGCGAAAGCAUUUGCCAAGAAUGUUUUCAU